rnacentral:lncRNA from 1 species
GAUACUACUGCUCAUAGUAAGGCUGUUGGAGUUUAACUGACACAUCAACAUGGGUCUCAACGAGCCCUUGUAGUGGAUGUUGGCGACAGUUGAUCCACUGUAGGAGUGGGGUGUGCAUCAAGAUGAAAACUAUCGACCCUAGCAGAAGGAAGUAGUCCUAUGAGAUUUAAUAGGCUGAGUCCUUAAGUCUAUGGCCAUAGCAGUGUGAUUGAUGGA